UACGGGGGGGGCAAGCGUUGUUCGGAAUUACUGGGCGUAAAGGGCUCGUAGGUGGCCAACUAAGUCAGACGUGAAAUCCCUCGGCUUAACCGGGGAACUGCGUCUGAUACUGGAUGGCUUGAGUUCGGGAGAGGGAUGCGGAAUUCCAGGUGUAGCGGUGAAAUGCGUAGAUAUCUGGAGGAACACCGGCGGCGAAGGCGACAUCCUGGACCGGCAUUGACGCUGAGGCGCGAAAGCCAGGGGAGCAAACGGG
rnacentral:rRNA from 1 species